rnacentral:rRNA from 1 species
GACAAACGCUGGCGGCGUGCAUAAAACAUGCAAGUCGGACGAGCCAAUCCCCGCAAGGGGAAAGGCUAGUGGCGAACGGCUGAGUAACACGUAGGUGAUCUGCCCUGAAGUGGGGGAUAACGACUCGAAAGAGUCGCUAAUACCGCAUGUGACCACCGAUCCGUUUUCGGUGCUCAAAGUCGUAAGACGCUUUAGGAGGAGCCUGCGGCGGAUUAGCUAGUUGGUGAGGUAANGGCCCACCAAGGCUUCGAUCCGUAGCUGGUCUGAGAGGAUGGCCAGCCAGACUGGGACUGAGACACGGCCCAGACUCCUACGGGAGGCAGCAGUUAGGAAUUUUGCGCAAUGGGGGAAACCCUGACGCAGCCACGCCGCGUGCGGGAUGAAGGCCU